rnacentral:rRNA from 1 species
GCCGCUUGGAGAGGAGCCCGCGUCCGAUUAGCUAGUUGGUGAGGUAACGGCCCACCAAGGCAACGAUCGGUAGCCGGCCUGAGAGGGUGACCGGCCACACUGGGACUGAGAUACUGCCCAGACUCCUACGGGAGGCUGCAGUCGAGGAUCAUUUGCAAUGCGCGAAAGCGUGACAAUGCGACGCUGCGUGGAGGACGACAGCCCUAGGGUUGUAAACUCCUGUCAUGUGGGAACAAUUCCGAACGGUUAAUAACCGGCUCGGUUGAUGGUACCACAAGAGGAAGCGACGGCUAACUUCGUGCCAGCAGCCGCGGUAAUACGAAGGUCGCUAGCGUUGUUCGGAUUUACUGGGCGUAAAGGGUGCGCAGGUGGUGCCGUGUGUCGGACGUGAAAUCCCGGGGCUCAACCCCGGAACUGCGUCCGAAACUGCGACACUAGAGUCCAUGAGAGGAGAGCGGAAUUCAAGGUGUAGCGGUGAAAUGCGUUGAUAUCUUGAAGAACACCGGUGGCGAAGGCGGCUCUCUGGAAUGCGACUGACACUGAGGCACGAAAGCGUGGGAAGCAAACAGGAUUAGAUACCCUGGUAGUCCACGCCGUAAACGUUGUGUACUUGGCGUGGGGGGAAUUAACCCCCUCCGUGCCGGAGCUAACGCGUUAAGUACACCGCCUGGGGAGUACGGCCGCAAGGUUAAAACUCAAAGAAAUUGACGGGGGCCCGCACAAGCGGAGGAGCAUGUGGCUUAAUUCGAUGCAACGCGAAGAACCUUACCAGGGUUUGACAUGCAGCUGCACGCCUCCCGAAAGGGAGGAAGCUUUCGAAGGUGCUGCACAGGUGCUGCAUGGCUGUCGUCAGUUCGUGCCGUGAGGUGUUUGGUUAAGUCCAGCAACGAACGCAACCCCUAUGUUUAGUUGCCACCGGUGGUGAUGAGCCACCGAGCACUCUAGACAGACUGCCCGUACAAGCGGGAGGAAGGUGGGGAUGACGUCAAGUCAGUAUGGCCCUUACACCCUGGGCUGCACACGUGCUACAAUGGUCGGUACAGUGGGAUGCAAUACCGCGAGGUGGAGCAAAUCCUCAAAACCGGUCCCAGUUCGGAUUGGAGUCUGAAAUUCGACUCCAUG